AUGAACGCUAGCUACAGGCUUAACACAUGCAAGUCGAGGGGCAGCAUGAACUUAGCUUGCUAAGUUUGAUGGCGACCGGCGCACGGGUGAGUAACACGUAUCCAACCUGCCGAUGACUCGGGGAUAGCCUUUCGAAAGAAAGAUUAAUACCCGAUGGCAUAGUUCUUCCGCAUGGUGGAACUAUUAAAGAAUUUCGGUCAUCGAUGGGGAUGCGUUCCAUUAGGUUGUUGGCGGGGUAACGGCCCACCAAGCCUUCGAUGGAUAGGGGUUCUGAGAGGAAGGUCCCCCACAUUGGAACUGAGACACGGUCCAAACUCCUACGGGAGGCAGCAGUGAGGAAUAUUGGUCAAUGGACGAGAGUCUGAACCAGCCAAGUAGCGUGAAGGAUGACUGCCCUAUGGGUUGUAAACUUCUUUUAUACGGGAAUAAAGUGAGGCACGUGUGCCUUUUUGUAUGUACCGUAUGAAUAAGGAUCGGCUAACUCCGUGCCAGCAGCCGCGGUAAUACGGAGGAUCCGAGCGUUAUCCGGAUUUAUUGGGUUUAAAGGGAGCGUAGGCGGACGCUUAAGUCAGUUGUGAAAGUUUGCGGCUCAACCGUAAAAUUGCAGUUGAUACUGGGUGUCUUGAGUACAGUAGAGGCAGGCGGAAUUCGUGGUGUAGCGGUGAAAUGCUUAGAUAUCACGAAGAACUCCGAUUGCGAAGGCAGCUUGCUGGACUGUAACUGACGCUGAUGCUCGAAAGUGUGGGUAUCAAACAGGAUUAGAUACCCUGGUAGUCCACGCCGUAAACGAUGAUUACUAGGUGUGGGGGGACUGACCCCUUCCGUGCCGGAGUUAACACAAUAAGUAAUCCACCUGGGGAGUACGACCGCAAGGUUGAAACUCAAAGGAAUUGACGGGGGCCCGCACAAGCGGAGGAACAUGUGGUUUAAUUCGAUGAUACGCGAGGAACCUUACCCGGGCUUGAAUUGCAACUGAAUGAUGUGGAGACAUGUCAGCCGCAAGGCAGUUGUGAAGGUGCUGCAUGGUUGUCGUCAGCUCGUGCCGUGAGGUGUCGGCUUAAGUGCCAUAACGAGCGCAACCCUUAUCGAUAGUUACCAUCAGGUUAUGCUGGGGACUCUGUCGAGACUGCCGUCGUAAGAUGUGAGGAAGGUGGGGAUGACGUCAAAUCAGCACGGCCCUUACGUCCGGGGCUACACACGUGUUACAAUGGGGGGUACAGAAGGCAGCUACACGGCGACGUGAUGCUAAUCCCGAAAGCCUCUCUCAGUUCGGAUUGGAGUCUGCAACCCGACUCCAUGAAGCUGGAUUCGCUAGUAAUCGCGCAUCAGCCACGGCGCGGUGAAUACGUUCCCGGGCCUUGUACACACCGCCCGUCAAGCCAUGAAAGCCGGGGGUACCUGAAGUGCGUAACCGCAAGGAGCGCCCUAGGGUAAAACUGGUGAUUGGGGCU
rnacentral:rRNA from 1 species